UACGGAGGGGGCUAGCGUUGUUCGGAAUUACUGGGCGUAAAGCGCGCGUAGGCGGCUUGAUCAGUUGGGCGUGAAAGGCCUGGGCUCAACCCGGGAACUGCGCUCAAUACGGUCAGGCUUGAGUUCGGAAGAGGGUAGUGGAACUCCCAGUGUAGAGGUGAAAUUCGUAGAUAUUGGGAAGAACACCAGUGGCGAAGGCGGCUACCUGGUCCGAAACUGACGCUGAUGCGCGAAAGCGUGGGGAGCAAACAGG
rnacentral:rRNA from 1 species